GCUAGCGUGGCAGAGCCUGGCUAAUGCAAAAGACCUAAGCCCUUUCUAUCAGGGGUUCAAAUCCCCUCGCUAACU
rnacentral:tRNA from 1 species